rnacentral:rRNA from 1 species
GACGAACGCUGGCGGCGUGCCUAAUACAUGCAAGUAGAACGCACAGGAUGCACCGUAGUUUACUACACCGUAUUCUGUGAGUUGCGAACGGGUGAGUAACGCGUAGGUAACCUGCCUGGUAGCGGGGGAUAACUAUUGGAAACGAUAGCUAAUACCGCAUAAGAACAUUUACUGCAUGGUAGAUGUUUAAAAGGUGCAAAUGCAUCACUACCAGAUGGACCUGCGUUGUAUUAGCUAGUUGGUGAGGUAACGGCUCACCAAGGCAACGAAACAUAGCCGACCUGAGAGGGUGAUCGGCCACACUGGGACUGAGACACGGCCCAGACUCCUACGGGAGGCAGCAGUAGGGAAUCUUCGGCAAUGGGGGGAACCCUGACCGAGCAACGCCGCGUGAGUGAAGAAGGUUUUCGGAUCGUAAAGCUCUGUUGUUAAGGAAGAACGUGUGUGAGAGGGAAAGUUCACACAGUGACG